rnacentral:misc_RNA from 1 species
AACAGCUCUCCCUUAUUCACAAAAAUUGACCCUGGGUGGAGAUUUUCAUGAGCUUUUACAAUGCUCUUCUCAAUGCCAUCUACAAUAACGUCGAAUGAUUGACGCACAAAUCCAAGAGAUGUCACAAUAUACACAACGUAUUGGAGAUAGCCCCCUGGACCCGCAUGGGUGUGAAUACCACUGAUAGCAACAUUCUUUUCAGUGUAGAGAUCCCCAUACCUGGCCCUCAAUCGUUACUUUAAUUUUCACAAGUUGUGAGGCCAUACAAGCAUCCAAAUUGACGAAUACUACCCGGUUCCCCUGUGGCUCCGCGACGAUAAAAGUCCGAGCCCGCAACCUAAAGUGAAUCCCAGAAGCAAUCUGAUCAGUGUUAGCAUAACCCAUCAUAUUAACAUCAGCAGCAGGUCCUGUAAUAUCAUAGCUCCCAAGCCCAAUCAAAUAUUUGGAUUCCGAGAAUACUACUCCACUAUUCAGCAGCAAGAGCACUAGAGAAACCCACGAACAAACACGAAGACCAAAUGACGAAUACAACUCCAUCUUCACUCAACCAACAGGAAACAAGCAAAAGAAGCUCAACCCUUUCUUCUCAUUUCCCUUUCCACGAAACCAGCUGGGUUUGUGCUGAACCCUGAACAGAUGAUGAUUAUAAAUAAUGAGAAGGAGAAGUGGAUAUUUGAGAGAGAGCUCACCUACGGUUCUCAA